UACGUAGGGUGCAAGCGUUAAUCGGAAUUACUGGGCGUAAAGCGUGCGCAGGCGGUCUUGCAAGCCAGAUGUGAAAUCCCGGGGCUCAACCUGGGAACUGCAUUUGUGACUGCAAGGCUGGAGUACGGUAGAGGGGGAUGGAAUUCCGCGUGUAGCAGUGAAAUGCGUAGAUAUGCGGAGGAACACCGAUGGCGAAGGCAAUCCCCUGGACCUGUACUGACGCUCAUGCACGAAAGCGUGGGGAGCAAACAGG
rnacentral:rRNA from 1 species